rnacentral:lncRNA from 1 species
AAACCUUGGGAAGAAAUUGUAAGCUACUCCUGGUUUUCAGUCUUGGUUUAUGUUGUCCUUGAUAACCUGUACAAGAUGUCAUGUUCUCUACUUUUUUGCCCUAGCUUAUCCUUCUUGCUCCCUCAGCUGUAGCCACCCCUCCCCAACUUCUUUAAAUAGAAAAGAGAAGGGUAAGAAGAACCAAAUAUAUAUAUACACAUAUAUAUUAUUUGUCACGACAUUAAUUUUUCAAACUUAUUCAGUUGAAACUUGAGACUACGUGAACACUAAUAACUACUUAUAAAUUGAUUUAGUUAAAUAGCUUGGUGAUUUUGGUACUUGGCUGUAUAAUGCUUUUCUUUUUGUCCUAUCAUUUUGCAUGCAGGAAGUAUAAACAUAUUGAUGUUGGGAACAUAUCUAUCUCAAGUACUGUUGAGAAAGCGGCAAGAAGUAAGGUACAGAUUUUCAGUUGCACUGCAUUGAUGCUGAAUGAUAAUUAUCUUCUCACAAAAUUAAUAGCAAGUAGCAUACCUCAACUUCUCAGAAGCUAGAUUAGUUGAAUGUGAGAAUGUAGUUGACACUUUAUGGCUUAAGCUUUGCUUGAGUAUCAAAAUUGAAGUAUGAGCUCAAGACCAAGCAUUAUUUGAGCUUGACUUGAGCUUUAGCUCAAGCCUGUAUUAAUAUCUUUGCCCUUCAAAAUAACUACUAAUUAACCCUAAUUAAUGAAAUAUUGCCCUUGUUUGAGUCCCAUUUUUUCAUCAAAAUAUAUUUUUCAGCAGUGAUUUGAUAUCAUUUCAACAACACAUUUUUUAAUAAAAUAAUAUUACACGCAUAUCCAAAAUUUUUCUUUACUUUUUAAUCACACAUUUUCCAUCAUAACACUAUUUCAAAAUGCAUUUUUUUGAGAAAAAUGGGCUCAAACAACCCAAUUAUAUGUAAUGUCAUAAUAAAACAUAAACUAAAAGAUUGCAAGCGUACAACUAGUUAUUGUGGAGCUUGAGCUUGGCUCUAUAGGGUAUUCGAGACAGCUGAAGCUCAAGUCAAGGAUCAAACUGAACUCAAAAAGCUCACUAGCAGGCUUGGCUUGGCUCGAAUCCCUGAUUCCCUAAUGUGAACGUGAUGAUGAAAUGUGGUAUGCCUAGCCUUGACAAGUUUGGAACUCAAAUUUGGAUCUAAAUAGACACGGACAGGGUUCCUCAAUGAAAUAUGAACUGGUCCUUACUGAAUUCAUUUACGUUAGGCUGUCGUGUCUAUGCUAACAUUUGGAUAAAAAUUUUAGACAGUGUAUGCAAUACAACAAACAUCUGCAACCUUCUUUUUCUCUGUGUACAGAAUGACACCUAUUUGGAAAAGUCUAGCAGUGAAAAAGACAAGAUACUAGAUUCUCCAUCUUCAACAAAUAAACAUUUACCUCCGAACAAGCUAACUGACGCUGCAAGAAGUUCGAAAAUCACUGGUGUUGUGACCACAUCCUCUGCAGAGAUGGGCAUAAGCAGGCCUGCUACAACCAGUUCUAAAAGGUCGGGUACAAAGUCUGAGGUAGGUGUUCAUAUUUUGUAUGUACUAAUCUUCUUCUAAAGGCAUAGCUCCUUUUUGGUGCUGUGAAGUUUCAACGGUGUCAUCGUAUGUGUAGACAGAUUACAUAUCUCCUAAUAGCAGAAUCAUUUAUGCCAUAAAUUCUAAGAGCAUCUUUGGUACAUAUUAGCGGACAAAACAAGAUUUUAACUUAUUUCCCUUCAUUAAUAGUAUCUAGUGCUAUCCAAUCCUUCUUAUUAAACACGCCAUAGUGCAAUACAGAAGAACUAUGGUAUAACUCAAUCGAAGUGAUGCAC